rnacentral:lncRNA from 1 species
AAGAGGAUGGAUAUUUACCACUGAAAAGAGAAGAGCCACCAAUUCUCAAGGCAUCACCAGGCUCUGCAGACAGAUAUUUCCCCAGAGUGUUUAUUUUUCUUUAUCCUCAGCUAAUUUAGGCUACAGAGAAGUUGGCUGUUGUUUCUGCAGCCCCAAGAGAAAAAGGUCUUGGAGAAAAGGCUCACCUUCCUGCACUGAAAUCACCACUUUUUGGAGCCUGAAAAGAGAGGAUGCUUCUUGUCAGCUCAUAUGAGUGCCUCUCCACAGGGGACUGGUUCUUUCUUUUUAAAAGUUUAUAGUAGAAAAACAAAUACUCAUUUCAAUAUCUCUGCAUGAAGGCGCAGAUGAGUCCACAGAGAGAUCAAUGCUGGUUCCAGUGACGACAGCAAGAUUGGGCUCUUCCUGAGGAAAAACAUUUUGGUAUUUUGGAGUAGUUUGGUUUGCCCUGCUGCACUUUCAGCUUUUUCUUAGCGUAAGGUCUUGCAAAAAGCUCGAUUUUAGCUGUUUCUGGGACAGAAUCAAGGAGAACUGGAACUCUGACAGUCAAACUUGUGUAAUGUCACACUUGUGUUCUGGUGGCACUUGUCAGCCUUGUCACCCAUUGCCCACCCUGCUCUAGGUUCUACAUGAUUCUCUCAACACCAGGAACAGCUCCUGACAAAGAGCAGUCACAAUUUGGACUGAGAUGCUGCAGUGAGAAACAAAAAAAAUGAGGAAAACCAAAAGAUUCAGGAAUGAGCAAAGAUGUAAACACCACUCCAGUGAAGGAAUGGUUGUAAAAUUAUCCAGUAAAUAUCAUUGUUUCAGGAAAAAACACUUGUGUUGAGACCGAAGUGUCACAAAAGUAGUCAUCAAACCUGCAGCAAAAUCCUGAAAACAGAAGCUGAAAUUUAGUGUUAACUAUUAAGGCAAAUAUGCUUGAAAUAUUAAAAGAUCAGUUGUAGAAUUCACUUCAGCCACAUGUGGUAAACAGCGUGGGCUUGUCACAACCUGUACUUUAUUUUGCCUGUCUCUAGAUGCCUCCACAACAACGUGACACAAACUGAUGGAACAGAGUGAGGCUUCUGAUCCUUAUUUAAUUAAUGAACUUCCGUAACUUCAACCUGAUCCAUGGGCACUGUGUCAGUGUUUGCAAAUAUCUCUGAGCCAGGGAAAUAACUCUAAUUUUUUUGGCUUGCCUCCCGUUUCUCUCAGAAACAGCAAUGACCAAAUGCUGCCUGGGCAGAUGCCAAGUUUCUCUUAGUCUUGGUGAA